rnacentral:rRNA from 1 species
GACGAACGCUGGCGGCGUGCUUAACACAUGCAAGUCGAGCGGAGCGGCGAACGGGUGAGUAACGCGUGAGUAACUGCCCCCCUCUCUGGGACAACAGUUGGAAACGGCAGCUAAUACCGGAUAGUGGGGGAUGACUCGGGUCCUAUCAGCUUGUUGGUCGGGUAGUGGCCCACCAAGGCGACGACGGGUAGCCGGCCUGAGCGGGCGACCGGCCACAAUAGGCUGAGAUACGGCCCAGACUCCUACAGGGGGCAACAGUGGGGAAUAUUGCACAAUCAUGGAAACCCUGAUGCGGCGGCGCCGCGGGCGGAAUGUCGGCCUUCGGGUUGUAAACCGCUUUCAGCCAUGACGCGGUAGUGGCAGAAGAAGCACCGGCUAACUACGUGCCAGCAGCCGCGGUAAUAC